ensembl:lncRNA
GGGGGGGGACCGGUUCCCUUUUUAAAAAAAAAAAAAAAAGGUGAUUUAUGCUCUAAUCGGUCCUGAAGCUUCAUUAUUGGGAGCAUUAGCGUGCCCGAGCCGGUGGCCUUAUUUGUUCGUGCACUGAAAGCGGCAGCAGAUGUGCUCUUUUUCCUCUGCGACCCGAUCAGCUCGCUGAUUCGUCUACUUCCAUUUUCAUUUCCCUGUCAUUGAUUUAUUAAUGAUGUCUCACUUCCCCGGGGCUCUUUCGGAGGCUCCUAUGCCUCAGCCCCCGGAGAGAUGCUGGAGGAGGACGUCCAUCCCCCCUCCCCACCUCCGGCCCCUGCCCUUGGCAAACGUCCCUUUUCUAAAACCAUAUGCAUCCUCGUCGCACCAGAGAGUAGAUGCUUUAACCGUUUAGUUAAACCGAAGCAACCUCUGCGGCGUGCGACCCAGAAGAGCCCAGAAAAGCCAGGCUGGGCUUUGCGGGGCACCCAGGCGGGCCUGACCGCGGCGACGUCCAGUCCGCGCACCCCUGGGCACCGCUCUCCCAGCGCCCCUGCCCUCUUCCUCCUCCUCCUCCUCCUCCUCCUGCCGACCAUGGAGACGCCGAGGUCUUUGCUCCAGCGCCCGGCCCGCUGCUGGCUCCCGGCAAGCAGAGCUUUGGAAAACUGGAAAAAGAAAGCAAAUUCUGCAAGCAAACGGGCGAAACGAGACCCCGGAGAGGGAGAAGGCCGUUCGUAGAGGACGCGUGCUUUUGUUGAACCGGCCCCUAAGCGCCAGCGCUGGCAUCCUCCCAAGACACCCCUGUAAGCUGCUGCUCGAUCUUAGGUCUCCGGCUGGGGAAAUCCUGUCUGCUUUCAGUUCCUCGACCGAACAUCCGCGGGAGCCGUCCUUCGCUUCGGAGGGACCGAAGGAGCANNNNNNNNNNNNNNNNNNNNNNNNNNNNNNNNNNNNNNNNNNNNNNNNNNNNNNNNNNNNNNNNNNNNNUCCCCGGGCCGCGUCUCGGCAGCUUCCAGCCGGUGGAAGGCAGCUGGCAAAACGAGUUGGCUCGUUUUAUGUCUUGGUCUUUACUGGAAACGUGGCUUAGAUGCAUUUUUUUGGCUGGGGAGGGGGGAAAAAAAGCUUUGCCUGAAUUUUUUUUUUUCCCCCUGUGCUCCCUUGUGUUCCCGCGAUGAAAUCACUGCCCUGAGAAGGGCCCUGCGGGAGCCGGGGAUCCCCCUGCAUCUCCGCCUGGCGUUACCCACACGCGACACGAGCCCUGGCCGCUUUAGAAACCUACGCACCUUUCCGAAUCAACAAAUCAACGCUAACAUCGGUGUAAACCGGUGCGACCCGUCUAGGGAAUUCGCUGGGUAAUUCCGCUGCCUCCUGAUUCAUUUGCUUGUGCCUGCUUGAAGUGCAGAGACCUCAGGGUCCGAGCGGCGGCCUGAUUCCCGGGGUUUCCGCCGACGGCGUCGCCGAGAGGCCGCUCAGAUGUAGCCCGGCUUCAGCUCAGGGCAGCAAGUGGCUUUGUGUGCUCUGAGCACGGAAAACACCCACAAGCAGCCCCGGCCCCCGGCCGCGGUGGCCCCUGCUGUCCGCGCCGGAGACC